rnacentral:rRNA from 1 species
GACGAACGCUGGCGGCGUGCUUAACACAUGCAAGUCGAACGGAAAGGCCCUGCUUUUGUGGGGUUCUCGAGUGCCGAACGGGUGAGUAACACGUGAGUAACCUCCCCUUGACUUUGGGAUAACUUCAGGAAACUGGGGCUAUUACCGGAUAGAAGCUCCUGCUGCAUGGUGGUGGUUGGAAAGUUUCGGCGGUGGGGGCUGUACUCGCGGCUUAUCCGCUUGUUUGUGGGGUAGUGGCUUACCAGGGUUUUGACGGGUAGCCGGCCUGAGAGGGUUGACGGCCACAUGGGGACUGAGAUACGGACCAGACGCCUACGGGAGGCAGCAGGGGGGAAUAUUGCACAAUGGGCGGAAGCCUGAUGCAGCAACGCCGCGUGCGGGAUGACGGCCUUCGGGUUGUAAACCGCUUUCGCCUGUGACGAAGCGUGAGUGACGGUAAUGGGUAAAGAAGCACCGGCUAACUACGUG